UGCUUUUGUUUAGACAGAGGCAGAAACCAACUUGGUCUCUGCGGUCCAACAACAGCACAAACUCUCCAAGCUGGUUCUCUCUGUGAGGAAGUAGUCAUCAUGCAAACUUGGAGUAACCGUAACAGGAAAAGGCCUGACACACAAAACACAGGAGGGCUGCAAAGGAAAAGCAGCAGCUUACCAGGAAUGGGAGGCUAUCAGAAUUUGUCACUGAACAAGAAAGGCAACAAAUGUUUCUGCAGAAAAGAACAUACCCAGAUGAGAAACCUCUGCCCUGCUCUACAUCAAACUGCAACAGAAGUUGCUCCCUUCUAUUAAACAGAGCUGAAGCAGGAAAAGUUUCACAACAUUCUCAGUUCUGCCAACCUCUCGUCUUGACCAGCAUUCAUAAACUCAUGGCAGUGUAUUAACUUCCCUAAGAGGAGGUACUGAAGUCUAAAAAAUUCCUGGAGAACACAUAAAGGGAAUAAAUGGGCACAUUUACACCAUCAUCAAAAGAAAUCUCCAAAGGAAAAGGCCAAAACAAUUGAAUCCUCUUACCUCAGGUAUACGUAGGAAACAGAUUUCACGUUAGAUACAUGCAUUCAAGAUGAUGCAGAUAUAGAAUCACAGAAUCAUUGUGGUUGGAAAAGGCCUUUAAGAUCAUAGAGUUCAACCAUUAACCAAUGCUGCCAA